rnacentral:miRNA from 1 species
GCAGACACAUUCCAGCCAAUCAGCAGCAGACCCUCCCUCCCAGACCCUGCCACCUCCUGGACAGCAUCCAUUUUACAUCCAUUGUGAAGCUGCAUUCUUAGUGAGCUGUCCAGGAGGUGGGAGGGUCUGGGAGGGAGGGUCUGCUGCUGAUUGGCUGGAAUGUGUCUG